UACAGAGGGUGCGAGCGUUAAUCGGAUUUACUGGGCGUAAAGGGUGCGUAGGCGGUUGUAUAAGUGGAAUGUGAAAGCCCUGGGCUCAACCUAGGAAGUGCAUACCAUACUAUACGGCUGGAGUAUAUGAGAGGGUGGCGGAAUUUCCGGUGUAGCGGUGAAAUGCGUAGAGAUCGGAAGGAACGUCAAUGGCGAAGGCAGCCACCUGGCAUAAUACUGACGCUGAGGCACGAAAGCGUGGGGAGCAAACAGG
rnacentral:rRNA from 1 species